rnacentral:lncRNA from 1 species
UCGGACGAGCCAUUAACGUGCGUCUCCUCCAGAAGUGGUGAUCCCCAGUGCCUGCUAAAUGAAUGCAUACAGGUCUGUGCUUGCUAUUCCAUCUUCUGGGUGUUAUGAACUGAAACCUGGCUACAAGAGACUCAACAGGCAGAAUACCCGGAACAUAAUGAGCUAAAGGGGAAAUGAAGUGCCCCUCAAGGAUUUUACAGUCUGAUUGUUCCUCAACCUUGUCAAUAAAUACUGGGUAAUCUUUUGAAACCAGUGUCUGGCAUUUUUCCCUGUUUCCAAUAAUCUUUCUGAAUUCAAAUAUUCUCUUCAGAUCCUCUGGCUUUCCCCAUCCUCUGAUGAAGAGUUUAGUGAGGAGAAGCUUUCUGUACAAGACAUCUAAUUU